GCAUCCAUUUAGGACUCAAACACUCCUCUGAGAUCAAUCACCUAAGCUUGGCCUUUCUUCUCCACUAUUUUCUCUAGAAUCAUGGACUUGAUUCAUAGUGUUUGUCAGAAAAACCAUUUCCAAGGCUCACCAGGAACCUAAAGUAAGAUAUUCAAUUUUUUUUCCUUCUCUUUUCUUACGUUAGCCCCAUCCAUCGAUUGUGAUUUGGUCAAAAUAAUGCUUGGAAGAAUC
rnacentral:lncRNA from 1 species